UUAAACCAUUAAAGAAGACACAUCACCAACGAAUACACUUAAUUAUUAUAAUGUUCUUUGUUAGUACUGCAAAUUAAGUGAUCUCGUUUUUCUUUCACACACAUCCACCUUUGAUAAUAAUAAUACAAGCAUAAACCAGUCUUAUCUGUGGCUAUAUCAAAGAGCUUGUAUUUUGUAUAAACAAGGUAUAAAAUGUCCUUGUUCAACAUACAUACUACUGUUGACUGAGAAGUAUUACAUAUUAGACAUAUCCUACAUAUGUGAAUCAAUGAAUAACUUUUGUACAUUUUUAAAACACUCUUAAAUUUUGUAGAUAUUUCACGAUAUAAUUUGAUUAUGUAAACAUUUUGGAAAAACAUACGAUUAGCGAACCAGACUAUAUAUAUUUUCCAAAUAAAAUUAUUUUCAUUAUGCACUGGAGUUUUAAUUUCAAUUGCUGUUAAUGCUCUGAUCUUAUUUUGUGAUAAAUUUGUGAAAUUAAGAAUCACGAAAUCAUUAAAUCAUAUAACAGAAAUGCAUUGAGUAUUAGCUCUACGUUAUACCUCGUCUAUGGACUAGAUCCUUUCAUAGAAACAUGUAUAUUAUUUUCUUUAAUUUUGUAAAAAAUAUACUUAUGCAAACUCA